UGUAGAGAUAGGGUCUCACUUUGUUGCCCAGGCUGGUCUCAAACUCCUGGUCUGGGCAACAAAUUGAGACCCUAUCUCUACAGG
ensembl:miRNA